AUGAAUCUCUAGAAGAUUCAUGAAUCUCGUGAAUCUCUGAAGAUUCAUGAAUCUAUAGAGAUUCAUAAGAUUCAAAGAUUCCUAUAGAGAUUCAUAGGAUUCAUGAAUCCCUAUCUUAUAAAUCUCUAUAGAUUCAUGAAUCUCGUGAAUCUCUAAAGAUUCAUGAAUCUAUAG
rnacentral:snoRNA from 1 species